rnacentral:tRNA from 1 species
GGAGAGCUGUCCGAGUGGCCGAAGGAGCACGAUUGGAAAUCGUGUAUACGCCUACCAGCGUAUCGAGGGUUCGAAUCCCUCGCUCUCCGCCA